rnacentral:rRNA from 1 species
UACGUAGGGUGCAAGCGUUUGUCCGGAAUUAUUGGGCGUAAAGAGCUCGUAGGCGGUUGUCGCGUCGAAUGUGAAAACCCGGGGCUCAACCCCGGGCCUGCAUUCGAUACGGGCAGACUAGAGUUCGGUAGGGGAGUCUGGAAUUCCUGGUGUAGCGGUGAAAUGCGCAGAUAUCAGGAGGACACCGGUGGCGAAGGCGGGACUCUGGGCCGAUACUGACGCUGAGGAGCGAAAGCGUGGGGAGCAAACAGG